rnacentral:rRNA from 1 species
GACGAACGCUGGCUGCGUGCUUAACACUUGCAAGUCGAACGGAAAGGCCCUGCUUUUGUGGGGUGCUCGAGUGGCGAACGGGUGAGUAACACGUGAGUAACCUGCCCUUGACUUUGGGAUAACUUCAGGAAACUGGGGCUAAUACCGGAUAGGAGCUCCUGCUGCAUGGUGGGGGUUGGAAAGUUUCGGCGGUUGGGGAUGGACUCGCGGCUUAUCAGCUUGUUGGUGGGGUAGUGGCUUACCAAGGCUUUGACGGGUAGCCGGCCUGAGAGGGUGACCGGCCACAUUGGGACUGAGAUACGGCCCAGACUCCUACGGGAGGCAGCAGGGGGGAAUAUUGCAAAAUGGGCGGAAGCCUGAUGCAGCAACGCCGCGUGCGGGAUGACGGCCUUCGGGUUGUAAACCGCUUUCGCCUGUGACGAAGCGUGAGUGACGGUAAUGGGUAAAGAAGCACCGGCUAACUAAGUG